rnacentral:lncRNA from 1 species
UCAGAGUCUGUUAGUAGAAAGCCAAGCAUUCUUAGCUAAUCUAAUUGGUGUUUCCUCUCUUUAAGGAGCAAAUGAUACAAUGACAGGGAUUUCAGAAGGCUACCAGUAUGAAAACAAAACGGUCAUCCUACAUGACCAGUUGGUGGCUACUAAUAAGGGAAUAUACAUUGGAGUUGGUGUCUUUGUUGGGGUGCUUCUCAUUCUGAUUUUACUUGUCUUUGUUUUGAAACGAUAUUUCUAUAACAGAAAGAAUGCACAAACUCUAAGUCUGACUUUCUUGGCGAGUAAUAAAAAUGAAGUUGUAAGGACUGCCACUGAAGAUGGCAACCGAGUAGAGGACAAUGUCUACACGAUUGAAGAUAAUGUCUACAUUGUUGAGGAGGAAAAUGCCUACAUUAUUGAAGAGGAGAAUACCUAUGUCAUGCCAACAUGCAAUGAGAAACAACAACCCUCCAAAGUUUGACCAUAAUAUCCUCAACUGACAGUUCUGGCCUUUUCCAUGUUCAUUUCCUUUUAAGCUCAUGGAUUAUUCCUAGGUGUUAUCUCUACCUGACAGGAGCAAUUGCAACAAUAAACGGUGACUCUGGAGAUGAAACA